AUAAUUCAUCCCUUCUCCACAGAAUUUGGCAAUAAACCCUCUGGUACAGGAAGAAGGAAGUGGGUCCUCUACUCUGAGUUUCCAGGUCACCUUCUCUUCAUCCUGCAAUUCUUUCCUGCUUUGCCUCCUAACCUUCCCACAGCUCCUUCUCAGGGAAAUUAUCUUUUGGGAUCUUAUGAAGAACUUCUUAUGGUAAGGACAUUUAAUCAAUCAAAAUAUUAUAAUAAUGGUCAUAAUUUGUUUAUUGCUUUACAUUCUCUUUGUUUUCAAAUAGAAUGCCCAAUACACAAAGGGCUGAGAAAAAGUAGAUUGCUCCUGCUUACAGGCAAUCUUUUUUCCCAUUAACCUGAUUUAUUUAUUUAAUUGUUUAUGAAACAUAACCUGGUUUAUUUUUUAUAGUACAUAUCACCACUUGAUUUUUAUUUAUUUAUACCCUAAUUGACUAUCUUUCUCAUUAGAUGGUACCUUCUAGGGAAGCUGGAAUGCUUACUUACUGACAAAUGUCUGACCUAUACUAGAUUUUUGUUGAAUGCAUCCAUUAAUGAUAAAUAAAUAAAACAGGAUGAUGAGGUAGAUUGAGUGG
rnacentral:lncRNA from 12 species